CACGUAGGGCGCAAGCGUUGUCCGGAAUUAUUGGGCGUAAAGAGCUCGUAGGUGGUUUGUUACGUCCGCUGUGAAAUCCUAGGGCUUAACCCUGGGCUUGCAGUGGAUACGGGCAGACUAGAGGUAGGUAGGGGAGAAUGGAAUUCCUGGUGUAGCGGUGAAAUGCGCAUAUAUCAGGAGGAACACCGGUGGCGAAGGCGGAUCUCUGGGCCGAUACUGACGCUGAGGAGCGAAAGCGUGGGGAGCGAACAGG
rnacentral:rRNA from 1 species